ACGAGUUGGACACUCAACUGAGUGAGUCACCCACAUACCCCUGCAGACUAGAUUUUCAAAAUAAGGAGAAAGAAAAGGAAACUGAAGCACAGAGAAAUUGGGCAACUUGCCCAGGGACAAAGAGCUGAUAGAGUAAAAUGGACUUUGAAUCUAACAAUCUGCUGGGAUGAUAACUACAGUGGACUGGAAGGCAGAUCCUCCAGAGAAGAUCACACCAAGGGGAAGGAUGAAGAGAGACUGUCCACCUAGGUAUAUUUGUGACUGUCCCUUCAAUAAAGAUGUUUCAAUGACUUGCUGCUGAAAUUUAAAUAAAUGCUAUUCAUUAAAAUUUAAA